ACGGCCAUGCACCACCUGUACACUAGCCACAAGGGAAACUACAUCUCUGCAGCGAUCCAGUGUAUGUCAAGCCCAGGUAAGGUUCUUCGCGUUGCAUCGAAUUAAUCCACAUGCUCCGCCGCUUGUGCGGGCCCCCGUCAAUUCCUUUGAGUUUUAGCCUUGCGGCCGUACUCCCCAGGCGGGGCGCUUAAUGCGUUAGCUACGGCACAGAAACCCCAAAAGGUCCCUACACCUAGCGCCCACCGUUUACGGCAUGGACUACCAGGGUAUCUAAUCCUGUUUGCUACCCAUGCUUUCGCUCCUCAGCGUCAGUAACUGCCCAGUAACCUGCCUUCGCCAUCGGUGUUCCUCCUGAUAUCUGCGCAUUUCACCGCUACACCAGGAAUUCCAGUUACCCCUACAGUACUCAAGUCAGCCCGUAUCGCCUGCACGCCCACAGUUAAGCUGUGGAAUUUCACAGACGACGUGACAAACCACCUACGAGCUCUUUACGCCCAGUAAUUCCGGACAACGCUUGCACCCUACGUAUUACCGCGGCUGCUGGCAC
rnacentral:rRNA from 1 species